rnacentral:rRNA from 1 species
AUUGAACGCUGGCGGCAUGCUUUACACAUGCAAGUCGAACGGUAACAGGCCGCAAGGUGCUGACGAGUGGCGAACGGGGGCGUAAUGCAUCGGAACGUGCCCAGUCGUGGGGGAUAACUACUCGCAAGAGUAGCUAAUACCGCAUACGAUCUAUGGAUGAAAGCGGGGGACCGUAAGGCCUCGCGCGAUUGGAGCGGCCGAUGUCAGAUUAGGUAGUUGGUGGGGUAAAGGCUCACCAAGCCAACGAUCUGUAGCUGGUCUGAGAGGACGACCAGCCACACUGGGACUGAGACACGGCCCAGACUCCUACGGGAGGCAGCAGUGGGGAAUUUUGGACAAUGGGCGCAAGCCUGAUCCAGCAAUGCCGCGUGCAGGAAGAAGGCCUUCGGGUUGUAAACUGCUUUUGUACGGAACGAAACGGCUCUGGUUAAUACCCGGGGCUAAUGACGGUACCGUAAGAAUAAGCACCGGCUAACUACGUG